CAGAAAUGUUCAGACAGCUCCAGCAUCCCAACUACCUUCUAGAUCUUUAAGGUCGCCAGAAAGGGAUGCUAGGGAAUGGAAUUCCAAUAACAGAAUACGAGCUUCAUCAUCGUCUUUGGAGAAGUCUCCACCACCAGCAAAUUCUCCACCAGCUACAAGGAGUGCUAGCGAUGAUAGGAGGUUAAGUUCUCCACGAUCACGGGCAAAGCAGCAUCGUCGUG
rnacentral:misc_RNA from 1 species